rnacentral:lncRNA from 1 species
GAAAUGUUCAGAAAAGCCAGCUGAGCUGUGCAAAGUCAUUAGUCACCCAGGGUAUCCUGUGGCAUACAGUUUUUAUUCAAGGCUGGCUUGUAUAUAUCAUAUUUAUACAGCGACAAGAACUUUUGAAAUACAAGUUAAGAACUUUAAGGAGAAAAAAACGUUCUUAUUGGAAGCAAAUGAAACAGAAAUUCCAAGUUAAAGCCAAAA